rnacentral:rRNA from 1 species
UACCAGCACCCCGAGUGGUCGGGACGAUUAUUGGGCCUAAAGCAUCCGUAGCCGGUUCUACAAGUCUUCCGUUAAAUCCACCUGCUUAACAGAUGGGCUGCGGAGGAUACUAUGGAGCUAGGAGGCGGGAGAGGCAAGCGGUACUUAGUGGGUAGGGGUAAAAUCCGUUGAUCCAUUGAAGACCACCAGUGGCGAAGGCGGCUUGCCAGAACGCACUCGACGGUGAGGGAUGAA